rnacentral:rRNA from 1 species
CUACGGGCUGCACCAGCAAGGAAUAUUGUACAAUGGGGGAAACCCUGAUACAGCAACGCCGCGUGAAGGAAGAAGGCCUUCGGGUUGUAAACUUCUGUUUUAGAGGACGAAUAAAGUGACGGUACUCUUAGAGGAAGCCCCGGCAAACUACGUGCCAGCAGCCGCGGUAACACGUAGGGGGCGAGCGUUGUCCGGAAUCACUGGGCGUAAAGGGCGCGUAGGCGGUUUAUUAAGUUGCAUGUGAAAUCCCAGGGCUCAACUCUGGACCUGCAUGCAAAACUGGUAGACUUGAGUAUGGUAGAGGCAAGUGGAAUUCCUAGUGUAGCGGUGGAAUGCGUAGAUAUUAGGAGGAACACCAGUGGCGAAGGCGACUUGCUGGGCCAAAACUGACGCUGAGGCGCGAAAGCGUGGGGAGCAAACAGGAUUAGAUACCCUAGUAGUC